AAUGAGCACGGUUCUCGAGGCUGCCUGGGGAAGGGAGGCUGCGGGGUGUGGACUAAACCACUGUGCUCCACACCCACGCGUCCCUCUUCUCCCGGGGUAGGGAGAUGGGGACGGCGAUAUAAGAAGACAGCAGCCCCAGGACUGGAAAGCAGGCUUGCUGCGGGCGAUGCACCCCCCCGCCUCUCCUCUACAGUUGGGUAUAGGUAGAAUUUACAUGAUUGCUUCUCACCGCUUCCCGUUUAAUGGGCAGCUAAUUUUUCGGAAAGGAAUCACAUACAAUCUUUGAAGAAGCCAGGAAAGAUUGAACUUGCUUCAGUGUCGCCCCCUAAAGAAAAAGGUCAUAAAAUAUGCAAUUGUACUUAAAAAAUGGAGCAGACCUGAAGAAAAAGAAGUUGCUUAUGGAAUCAGCAGUCACU